AGCCUGCCCUAGAAUGGGAUAUUCCGGAUUUCUUUUGGGUGCCCUGUUACAUCCAUCCAUUGCACUUUGGCCAGGCUGACCCCUGUGAAUUUCCCAAAUGUGGGACACAUGGUUGCAUAAUUUUGUGGUAAUGGGGGGCUGCAUUUGCACUUUCUUA
ensembl:snRNA U1 U1 spliceosomal RNA